rnacentral:rRNA from 1 species
UGGGGAAUUUUGGACAAUGGGCGCAAGCCUGAUCCAGCCAUGCCGCGUGCGGGAAGAAGGCCUUCGGGUUGUAAACCGCUUUUGUCAGGGAAGAAAUCUUCUGAGUUAAUACCUCGGGAGGAUGACGGUACCUGAAGAAUAAGCACCGGCUAACUACGUGCCAGCAGCCGCGGUAAUACGUAGGGUGCAAGCGUUAAUCGGAAUUACUGGGCGUAAAGCGUGCGCAGGCGGUUUUGUAAGACAGAGGUGAAAUCCCCGGGCUCAACCAGGGAACUGCCUUUGUGACUGCAAGGCUUGAGUGCGGCAGAGGGGGAUGGAAUUCCGCGUGUGGCAGUGAAAUGCGUAGAUAUGCGGAGGAACACCGAUGGCGAAGGCAAUCCCCUGGGCCUGCACUGACGCUCAUGCACGAAAGCGUGGGGAGCAAACAGGAUUAGAUACCCUGGUAGUCCACGCCCUAAACGAUGUCAACUGGUUGUUGGGAAGGUUCCUUCUCAGUAACGUAGCUAACGCGUGAAGUUGACCGCCUGGGGAGUACGGCCGCAAGGUUGAAAACU